CAGAUGCAGCACACCACAAAAGAAUACUGCCUCAAUGGGUUCUACUCUCUAGUCUUUCAAAUCUCCUUCCAGAGAAAGCUUCUACCUCUCUCUUUGUGAGAUCCAUAAUUUGAUUCUGUGAAGUUUCUGUCCCUGCCAUUUUUCCAUGCAAAUGCAAUGUUUAUAACAUUUAUGAUAUCAGUUUGGCAUAGAAGCUAGAAACAAGGAUCCAAGUGAAGCUCCCAUUUGCAAAGGAAAGAUAAUCAUCCAACAAAGCCUUCUUUCAGAGGCCAAAAUAUGUGAAAAGAAAGAUAAUCAUUGCACUUUUACUGUUCCUCCCAACACAUUGUUUCUUUAACCAUAUGCGAUCAAACUAUGCAUGGUCAACCACAGAAAUGUCAGUGUUGCCAUACUGCUGGGCAGUAAAAGUUGGUCAUGUGUCACAUAAGAAUAAGCAUCUCCCUCCAAUCAAGAUGGUGUACCUGAACCUACUUUUGCAAAUCAUGGAGGCAUGCACUCAAAUGUAGACAACCAAUGCGAGGAGCACAUAUUAAAAAUAAAAGAAAGCAACCCAUUUUCCCAAUUUCUAGGAGAUGGACAAAUUACUUGGAUUUUGCUACUAGAAGUUCUUUCUCAUAUGCAUGAUAAGCAUGCAGAACCCAAAGAGGAAUAGUGAGAAAUUUUAAAGAAAUGCUGAUAGCAGUUCAUAUAAUUGAGAAUUUGGUGAGAACCAGUUGUAUAUGAUUCAUACACCUGCAUGGAACUGUUAAAAACCAUUCUUAAUCAUAUACCUUCUUCCUCUGAUACUACCACAAUGUUGGAAUAAACAUAACAGGAGGUCUAG
rnacentral:misc_RNA from 1 species